rnacentral:rRNA from 1 species
GAUGAACGCUGGCGGCGUGCCUAAUACAUGCAAGUCGAGCGAACAGACGAGGAGCUUGCUCCUCUGACGUUAGCGGCGGACGGGUGAGUAACACGUGGAUAACCUACCUAUAAGACUGGGAUAACUUCGGGAAACCGGAGCUAAUACCGGAUAAUAUAUUGAACCGCAUGGUUCAAUAGUGAAAGACGGUUUUGCUGUCACUUAUAGAUGGAUCCGCGCCGCAUUAGCUAGUUGGUAAGGUAACGGCUUACCAAGGCAACGAUCCGUAGCCGACCUGAGAGGGUGAUCGGCCACACUGGAACUGAGACACGGUCCAGACUCCUACGGGAGGCAGCAGUAGGGAAUCUUCCGCAAUGGGCGAAAGCUUGACGGAGCAACGCCGCGUGAGUGAUGAAGGUCUUCGGAUCGUAAAACUCUGUUAUUAGGGAAGAACAAAUGUGUAAGUAAAUAUGCACGUCUUGACGGUACCUAAUGAGAAAGCCACGGCUAACUACGUG